rnacentral:lncRNA from 1 species
CAAACCUGGCCACUGGAGGCACGUGAGGUCCAGGCUCCUGCCCUGCCCGCCCCUGGGCUUUGGUCACCCGCGGGACUGGGCACGCACAGGCACACAGCAGAGCCGUCCACAGACCCGGCCCAGGGGCCGCCGGGAUCAUCCCGCCCAGUCGAGCUCUUGGGCCCCCUUGAAGCCUAGGAGUGUUUUCUCAGAGAGAAAGCAGCACGCUUCUUGCGCAUUUGCACAUCUCCAACGCAGCGCUUCGGCCUGUCCUCCGCACUGGAGACUCAGGUGCCUCCGCCCUCCUGAGAGCAGGGGCGGCCUCUCUGCUGAGAGUUCUGAUUGUCAAGCUCCCAGAACUUUCAGAGUUCAGUCCGCCCAGCGUUCUUGUUUACCAGUUGAGGAAACGGAGGCCCAGGGAGGCUGUGCAGCGCGCCGGCACUCACACACCUGGUGGGGACAAAUGUGGACUAGGAUAUCUGGGACCGAAGUCUUGGCCUCCAGCUCCCUCUUGCCUCCCACUUACCUUUCCAGAGAUGGAGUUUCACCACGUUGGCCAAGCUGGUUUUGAACUCCAGACCUCAAGUGAUCUGCCCGCCUCGGCCUCCCAAAGUGCUGGGAUUAUACAUGUGAGCCACCGUGCCUGGCCUUGAGUUACAUUUUCAUGGGGACUUGGGACAAUCGGAAAUGCAUCCACCACACUUGCAGACUGACUGGUGAUCCUGAAAUGAUGGCGUGUGGGAGAGGCAUGGGCUUCCUUUAAGAGCCGCCAGAGCCAGGGCAGGGGCACCUUGUGCCUUGACAUAAGGAAGGCUCCCCUGCCAGGAUAGACAGAAGAGCUGCCGAAGAGGUGGAGCCAGGCAGGGGCCACAGGCCCGUGAAGGUCUCAGCAGAGCCCCCAGGAGAGUUGGACUUGCUGCAAGCAGAGCCUAUGGCUCUGCGGUUCCAGGAGAACUGUUUGUGCCCCUUGCCCCACUGCCUGCCAGCUGUCCCCAAAAGGACCAGAGGAUCAGAGUAGCCCACUCCAGACGAGGUGCGGGCACCAUGCUGUUACCAUCUGCUGCCCCUCUUUCCAUCUUUCCAUCUUACUUCCUGCGUGGCCCAGCAUCCAGGCUGUCUAGGGCCGUGGGAGACCUGGAGAGCCAUUAAAAACAACAACUGGCAGCACACAGGCAUUUUUUGGCAGCACACGGAAACUCACACGGAACAGACAGGGAGCCGGAGAGAUGGGGUUUCGCCAUGUUGCCGAGGCUGGUGAGGAACUCCUCCUGGGCUCAAGAGAUCCAGCUGCCUCGACCUCCCAAAGUGCUGGGACUACAGACAUGCACCACCACACCUGGCCUUUUAUCCUCUUUUUAGCAAAUGCAUUUAGGGUUUGUAUUUACCUGUAAGAACAGGUUUACCUGAAUUUCGCAUAGUUUGAUAGGUCAUCCUUGCAUUGUUCUCAGUUCUUAAAAUUUCAAAAUUUCCAUUUUGAAAUGUUUCCUCCUUAUCUUUGGAUUUUUAGCAUCUUUAAAAAUCUCUACACAGGUU